AAGGUGACAGCAGGGACAUUGAAAGUUUGGGCAAGGGAUGAUGCUGGUGGCCCCAGGGCUAUGAAAACUCUCCAGUAGUCAACUACUGGUUAUUGAAUAAAUGUAACCUUGGGAGCUGUACAAAACAUGCAUUAAAGCUUCACAGAAUUCAGGUAUACCCAGCAUAUGUAGACCACAACAUAUUAACAUCAGUAUCAUUGUCAUUCUAUGAAAAGACCUGGGAUACCUUGCUGAUAAAACUGUUAAGACUUCAAUUGUAUAAACAGUAAAGUUCUUCUUGACUUCACCUAUCAGGUCCUCCCUUUUUCUUCCACAAAAAGAUCAGGAGUGUAAUAAUUUGGUGGGACUUUGAGCCCACCAAAUUACUGAUUCAGUACAUCAGAUGCAAUGAAUUGGGCUCAGAUUCAGACAGUUUGAGGCUGUUAAGGGGUGAAUGACUGGAAGAAAGAAAAAUUGCAGCAAUGCACCAUCACAUGUUAAAAGGAAGAAAAGUAAUAACUCUUUCAAGAAAUCACUUUAUUGCUUAUAUAAAUAUAUUUCAAAUAAUUUUUAUAAUCUCCAUAUAUUAAGGGAGACGACAUUGUUAUAUAGUGUGUCAAAGUAAAAAAAAAUACCCUUUUUUUCAAGAUUUGGAGAACAGAAGAACAUCUGGCCUAAUAACAACAUUCAAAACUGAGAUACAAAUGAUGAAGUAGUCUAUAAGAAAGGGAGAGAUGAUAAUAUAAUUCAUGUCAUUUCGCUGACAGUCAGCUUCAUAGACUGCUCUGCCAAUCACCAAGAAUAGCAACAGUCAUCUAGCAAGGAGAACUGAUUACAGGCAGUGAAAGAUAAGGACAAAGGGUUUGUUCCUUUGCUGGGAUUCCUGACUCAAAUGCUGAAUAUUUAUGUUAACUCAUCUCUAAAGUUCACUGUCCUAGUUUAGGGCAAAUUUGGGGAAAACCCAGGAAAUAAACCCCCACGGCCCCUCUCCACCCACCUGGUUCAGGGAAAAAUUCCCUCUGAGAGAGAAGUGGAAAAGAACCUGUUUAUUCAAUGAACAAAGCACUCCCCAGCACCAAAACAAUUAACAACACAAGAUGACAACAAAACUCUUUCACCCCUCUGAAGAGCUGAACAAAUCCAGAAGGUCUUUCCUGGGAGUGGUCGCCUGGGUCUGGACGCUGGGGAUGGCUGCUGCAGAUCUCCAAAUGCAGGCUCCUGGUGUUCUUUGGUGUUUCCCAGAUCCCAGUCCAGAGCAGGCUGGAUGAUAGUCAGAAAGAGGAAGGGAAAAAAAGCAACAGUCCAGGGAAAGAAUUGGACUGCUUAACCUAACUAGGAAGCAAAGCAAGAAAGCAGGCAAAGCAAGCAAGCCAAGCAAGCAAGCAAGCAAAGCAAGCAAGCCAAGCAAGCAAGCAAAGCAAAGCCAGCCAGCCAGCCCUAGCCUUUUCUAGCUUUCCAGCAGACAUGGGGGGAGGUGAACCAGAUGAUAACACAGCAAAACAAACCUUCACUUUCAGAGUCAGUUCUGAAAGCACAGAACAUAAUAUCAAACGUAAACAGAACACACGAUUGGAGAUACAAACACCAUAACAGUCACCCUAGGACAUUCCACCCCUUAUCUCCAUAUCUUCAACAUCAUGUAAAAACUCCAUCAAGUUAAAACUUGUAUCUUUCACUUACUCAUACCUUCUUUCUCAUGUCUGUGUGUUUUCAUGCACAGACAUUGACAGUAACAUCCAGCAAACAGUGAUAUUUGCACAAUAGUUUCACCCCACAAUCAGAUCUCCCUGAGGUACACAUCGUGUUGUUCCAUCUCUCUGCAUUAUCCAUCAUGUACAACCUGGUCCCUGAGCAAAGACAAUCCCACGAAUGGGUUUGUCUGUACUCGAGGCAGGAUUGAUCCACACUGAUUUCCCUAACAAACCUCUGACAUGUGCCACUGGGACUUUAUCUCCGUCUACUAUAUUCAGGGGCUCAGACUGGGCAGGACCUGCUCGAUUGGUGGAACCUCGGCUGUUAACUAACCAGGUGGCCUUUGCUAAAUGUUGCUCCCAAUUUUUGAAAGAUCCCCCACCCAAUGCUUUUAAGGUGGUUUUUAACAGUCCAUUGUACCUCUCCACUUUGCCUGCAGCUGGUGCAUGGUAGGGGAUGUGGUACACCCACUCAAUGCCAUGUUCCCUAGCCCAGGUGUUGAUAAGGCUGUUCUUGAAAUGAGUCCCAUUGUCUGACUCAAUCCUCUCAGGGGUACCAUGCCUCCAAAGGACCUGCUUUUCAAGGCCCAGGAUGGUGUUACGGGCUGUAGCAUGAGACACAGGGUAGGUUUCCAACCAUCCAGUGGUGGCUUCUACCAUUGUGAGCACGUAGCGCUUGCCUUGGCGUGUCUGGGGCAGUGUGAUGUAGUCAAUCUGCCAGGCCUCCCCAUACUUGUACUUGGACCACCGCCCACCAUACCACAGGGGCUUCACCCGCUUGGCCUGUUUGAUGGUAGCGCAUGUCUCACAGUCAUGGAUAACCUGAGAAAUACUGUCCAUGGUUAGAUCCACCCCUCGGUCUCGUGCCCACUUAUAAGUGGCAUCUCUACCCUGAUGGCCUGAGGCAUCAUGGGCCCAUCGUGCUAGGAACAACUCUCCCUUGUGUUCCCAGUCGAGGUCUAUCUUUGAUACCCCUAUCUUCGCAGCCUGAUCUACCUGCUGAUUGUUUUGCUGCUCUUCAUUAGCUCUGCUUCUGGGGACAUGGGCAUCUACAUGGCGAACCUUCACAAGUAGCUUCUCUACCCGGGUAGCGAUAUCUUUCCACUCUUCAGCAGCCCAAAUUGGUUUUCCUCUACGCUGCCAGUUAGCUUCUUUCCACCUCUCCAGCCACCCCCACAGAGCAUUGGCUACCAUCCAUGAAUCAGUGUAGAGGUAUAGCUUUGGCCACUUCUCCCUUUCUGCAAUGUCUAGGGCCAGUUGAACGGCUUUGAGUUCAGCAAACUGGCUUGAUCCACCUUCUCCUUCAGUGGCCUCUGCAACCCGUCGUGUGGGACUCCAUACAGCUGCUUUCCACUUCCGAUUCAUCCCUACGAUGCGACAGGAACCGUCAGUGAAGAGAGCAUAGCGUGUUUCCUCUGCUGGCAGUUGGUUAUAUGGUGGAGCUUCUUCAGCCCAUGUCACUGGUUCUUCUUCUUCAUCUGCGACACCAAAACUUUCACCUUCGGGCCAAUUUGUAAUUACUUCCAAAAUCCCAGGGCGAUUCAGCUUACCAAUAUGGACACGCUGCGUAAUGAGAGCAAUCUACUUGCUCCAUGUAGCACUGGUGGCAUGGUGGGUGGAGGGAACCUUUCCUCUGAACAUCCACCCCAGCACCGGUAGUCGGGGUGCCAGGAGGAGUUGUGCUUCUGUGCCAAUCACCUCUGAGGCGGCCUGGACUCCCUCGUAGGCGGCCAAGAUUUCCUUCUCUGUUGGGGUGUAGUUGGCUUCAGACCCUCUGUAGCUCCGACUCCAAAAUCCCAGUGGUCGGCUCCGAGUCUCAUCAGGCACCUUCUGCCAAAGGCUCCAGGACAGACCAUGGUUCCCGGCUGCAGAGUAGAGCACGUUCUUCACAUCUGGUCCUGUCCUGACUGGGCCAAGAGCUACUGCAUGAGCAAUUUCCUGCUUUAUCUGGGUGAAAGCUUGCUGCUGCUCAGGGCCCCAGCAGAAAUCAUUCUUCUUGCGGGUGACCAGGUAGAGGGGACUCACGAUCUGACUGUACUCAGGAAUGUGCAUUCUCCAAAAACCAAUGGCGCCUAAGAAAGCUUGUGUCUCUUUCUUGUUGGUUGGUGGGGACAUGGCUGUGAUCUUGUUGAUGACUUCUGUAGGAAUCUGACGCCGUCCAUCUUGCCACUUCACUCCCAAGAACUGGAUCUCUCGAGCAGGUCCCUUCACUUUACUCUUCUUGAUGGCAAAACCAGCUUCCAGGAGGAUUCGGAUGAUUUUCUCUCCUUUCUCAAACACUUCUGCUGCUGUGUUCCCCCACACAAUGAUAUCAUCAAUAUAUUGUAGAUGUUCUGGAGCCUCACCCUUUUCUAGUGCAGUCUGGAUCAGUCCAUGGCAGAUGGUAGGACUGUGCUUCCACCCCUGGGGCAGUCGGUUCCAGGUAUAUUGCACUCCCCUCCAUGUAAAGGCAAACUGAGGCCUGCAUUCUGCUGCCAGAGGAAUGGAGAAAAAUGCAUUGGCAAUAUCAAUAGUGGCGUACCACUUCGCUGCCUUGGACUCCAGCUCGUACUGGAGUUCCAGCAUGUCUGGCACAGCAGCGCUCAGUGGUGGAGUCACUUCAUUCAAUGCACGGUAGUCCACAGUCAAUCUCCAUUCUCCUUCAGAUUUACGCACAGGCCAAAUGGGGCUGUUGAAGGGUGAGUGGGUUUUGCUGACCACCCCUUGGCUCUCCAGCUCUCGGAUCAUCUUAUGGAUGGGAACCACAGCAUCUCGAGUUGUUCUGUACUGUCGACGAUGCACUGUUGAAGUGGCAACUGGUACCUUUUGUUCUUCUCCCUUCAAAAGUCCUACUGUAGUUGGAUUCUCAGACAGUCCAGGCAAGGUGUUCAGUUGCUGGAUGCCCUCUGUCACUACAGCUGCUAUCCCAAAUGCCCACCUGAGUCCCUUUGGGUCUUUAAAAUAUCCCCUUCGAAGGUAAUCUAUGCCCAAAAUACAUGGGGCCUCUGGGCCAGUCACAAUAGGGUGUUUCUUCCACUCAUUUCCUGUCAGACUUACAUCAGCUUCCACCACAGUAAAGUCCUGAGAUCCACCUGUCACACCGGCAAUAGAGACAGAUUCUGCCCCUACGUGUCUUGAUGGAAUUAACGUGCAUUGUGCACCAGUAUCAACCAAAGCCUUAUAUCUUUGUGGGUCCGAUGUGCCAGGCCAGCGAAUCCACACAGUCCAGAAAACACGGUUUUCCCUCGCCUCUACCUGGCUAGAGGCAGGGCCCCUCUAAGCCUGGUUAUCCUUCUUGCCUUGGGCGUAUGUCUUAGAAGUUCCUUCAAGGGGAUCAGACAUGUCAUCAUCAUCAUCAUGCCUGGCAGUUUGGCUACGGGCAACUGGAGCUGCUCUCCUUUUGGUGGCACUUCCUCUCUGAAUCUUACCUUCCUUCAAUUCACGCACCCGUUGUGCCAGAGCACCAGUAGGUUUUCCGUCCCAUUUCCUCAUGUUUUCUCCGCAAUCGCGCAGGAAGAACCACAGCUCAGUUCGUGGGGUGUACCUUCUCUCACCAUCUGAGGAACGUCUACGUUGGAUACCAGAACCUCUGAUCUGUACUGCUGAGAUUUGGAGAAGGUCCUCCUUUAUUUCCUCCCUGAGUCUCUUAUGAUUCUCCUCUAUCUUAUCUUCUAAUUUCUGCAGACGUGUUUCCACUGCUGCAAUUCUGGCAUGGGUUGGGCCAUGUACAGCAUCUGCAUAUGCUCGGAGUUUCCUUGCCAUUUCGAGCACGGUCUCAUCCCUCUCAUCUUGCUUCAUUAUUGCUAAGGCAGAAGCGUAGUCAUGUGGCCCAAGCCGUACAAGUUUUCGCCACAUCACAGAUGUACAUGGUACCAAGUCUGGAUUCCUAGUUGUUAUUUCAUCUGAGAAGAUAAUCUCUGCCACUGCCAUUUCUCUCAGACGUUGGAUCCCUUGUUCUAUAGUCUUCCACUGGGUUUGCUGCAUAUAAAGAUCAUCUGCACACAGGUAUCUUUGUGCUACACUUUCCAGAAGUCGUGCCCAGAGGCUGUGAGGGUUAGCCCCCCUCAUCAUUCCUUGAUCAAUAACAGGAUCAUGUGACAGGGAUCCCAAAUGCCUUGCCUCAGUACCAUCCAGAAUUGUAGCCUCGCCUGCAGCAUCCCAAAGACGGACCAACCAACUAAUUACAGACUCAUCAGGUCGUCGGGUAUAAUCCUUCCUCAGGCCACGAAGGUCCUUUAGGGAAAAGGACUCAGUAUUGGCCUCUGAUCUUGUACCAGUUGCUUUGACUUCUGAUUUUAUGUCAGCAGGCAUUGAGGGUCCCUCUCCUGCAUUAUCAUCAUCAUCGUCAUCAUCCACUGGUCGAUUGGUCUUUUCUGUGCGCUUCCCACUUCUUGUGCUAGUAGCAACAGCCAUAGGUUGAGGCUUGGCUGCUGAGUCUGGUUUAGCUGCUAGCCUAGGCUCACUGUCUGGUUUAGCUGCUGGCUUUGAGCCGGAGGUGUUUGCUGCAGCCUGAGUGACUGGUAUAGCUGCUGAUUUAUCUCCCUGCCCCCCUUCCUCUGUCUGCUGCCCUACAGUAUCUAGCAGGGUGCGAUAAGCAUAUGCCAGGGCCCAGCUCACUGCAAUGAUUUUUUUCUCCUUAGAGUUAUCAUGGCACUUCUCUUUCAAGUACUUCGCCACCUCAGCCGGAUUCUGAAUUUGUUCACUAGGAAAGUCCCAGGCUAUAGGGUCAGAAAAUUCCUUUAAAAUUUGGCCCAUCUCCUCCCAUUUCCCACACCACUCAGGAUUUCUCACACCUGGGUCUACUCCUGGGUCAGAGGUCUCAUCAGCCCCUCUAGAAAUCUCAGCCCUCAUUCUAGAGAGACUGCAGACUGUAUAGAGAAAGCUUACCAGAUUAAACACCAGGAAGAUGGUCUCCUUAACAGUCAGGGGAAACUGAACAUUCUCUAAUAGGGAGGUAACACAUUCAGAGGAGAAGAAGGAAAGCAAAGGCUGAAAAGCCUCAUCCCCUACUUCCCCUCUAACAAACUGGCUGUACAACCAUAACCAUGAACCAUACAUUCCAGGAACAGACCUCAGCACCUUUAUAAACCCUCUGGAAGCUAUUACACCCAAGCACAGCACAAUGGAUAUUCUGGUCAGUGCCCUUCUACUGCAAAACCUACGUAUUAGGGACAAUACCGGAGCUAUUCCUGGAUAAAAAAAUAAACCUAGGGACCACAGGGGGAUUAAGAUCUCAAAAACCCCUAGGGACCAGAGACACAUGCAGGCCUUCACCCCAAGGGACAAUAUUAAUUCAAACAACAUAACCAGUAACUGCUCCAUACCCACACAAAAUAAUUGGAACAAAAAUAUGAUUACAACAGGGUUUUUUCCACUCUCUCGAGCCCCGAGUUGGGCGCCAAAAUAUUUGUCCUAGUUUAGGGCAAAUUUGGGGAAAACCCAGGAAAUAAACCCCCACGGCCCCUCUCCACCCACCUGGUUCAGGGAAAAAUUCCCUCUGAGAGAGAAGUGGAAAAGAACCUGUUUAUUCAAUGAACAAAGCACUCCCCAGCACCAAAACAAUUAACAACACAAGAUGACAACAAAACUCUUUCACCCCUCUGAAGAGCUGAACAAAUCCAGAAGGUCUUUCCUGGGAGUGGUCGCCUGGGUCUGGACGCUGGGGAUGGCUGCUGCAGAUCUCCAAAUGCAGGCUCCUGGUGUUCUUUGGUGUUUCCCAGAUCCCAGUCCAGAGCAGGCUGGAUGAUAGUCAGAAAGAGGAAGGGAAAAAAAAGCAACAGUCCAGGGAAAGAAUUGGACUGCUUAACCUAACUAG
rnacentral:lncRNA from 1 species